rnacentral:lncRNA from 1 species
CAGCUGCUAGUAGUAGUCGGUCGGUGGUCGUUCCUCGUAUCAGAGUUUAGUCUUCCCCUAGAUUAUAUCAUAUCUCUCGAUCCUAAUUAAAAGGAUACGCACAAGAAGGAAGGAA